AUUCAAUACUCCCAGCCUGGCAUUCAAAAUUGAUGUAUUUGACUCCUUUCUCUAGGUCAACGAAUUUUGAGAAACACAUGCCAUCUAACCUCAAUACAUCUAAGACAAAUAUGGCCUCCUACACUCCUACUGACAAGAUCCACAAUAAAUUUCGGGCAUCUCAUCCAAAACGCAUCAUUUUUUUACAGGGUUUUACAUGAACACCAUGAUAGACAGCAAUGUAAUUAGGUGAGUCAACCAGCACGAGUGAAUUUGUGUAGCAAAAUUGUCUGGGCUUACGGGCCCAGACGCCGCACCACCGUUGCUGCCAUUGGAGCCAGUGCUGCAAGAAGAACCAACACUGCAUCAGGACUAGAUGUCACCAUUGCCGUGCUAUUGAAGUUGCAUGUUCCGCCACUUGCUCGUGUCCUAUGGUAAUAAUCAUUGAAAGCAUAAGAAGCAACAGCGACAAUGUCAUCUGAUUUAUAGCAUGGUUGCCCAGGUUGAAUUGCACUGCAGUUUGCAGAGCCAGGGCCACAGGCCCAAUCCAAGCUUUGCUUCAAUGCGCUAUGAGGAGCACUAGAAUUUGCUACACAGAAUGUCCCUCGCAAAACUGGUGAAUCUGUAUUAGUUGUGGCCAUGUCUUCAAAUGUAAGGCUGUACACAGUAGUUGCAUUGGGGAACAUGAUGCCCCAAUUUUUCUCUGAGACAGGUCCAGCCCGAAGAUCCUCAUUGAACAACUCAAAUAUGAAUGUGCUUACUUGAUUGUUUGGCUGGCCAGGAGUACCAGAAUUAUUUAAUACAUGGCGUAUGAGGUUUGUAUUGUAGGCCAAAGCAUUAUCCACAUUAGCAGCCUUCUCAUUUUGCCCACCAUGCGAUGGCCACCCAGAAGCUGUGACCAUAACAGGGAUCCCAGUGAAAUUCAUUGCUUGCAUUGAGUUGUAUGUAGCAUCAACCAUAGCAUCAAACAUAUUGGUAUAGAACAAAUUUGUGUUGGGAUCUGAAAUUUGGCUAUCAGGGUUGAGUGAUCGAAACAGCGCAUAUUCUAAGGGGAAUACGCCUUGCCCUUUGACAUAGUCAUAAUAAGGUUGGGCGUUCAGCAUGAAGGGAGAUGCUGUGUUGUUCAGAAAUUGAAGAUACUGAAGCAUUAUUGAGCUCCAUGUCGAAUUGAAUGUAGCAGUAGAUGGAGGAAAUGGCUUAGAGAUCAUGUCUGUUGAAUGAGGACUUGAAAUUUUCACCUGGGUAUUGAGAUUUGCAGCCAAAAGCGCUGACUGUAGGAAUUGCAAUGCAGGUACAAGAACAAGAGCUGCAUUUGGUUCUGUAGUAAGAACCUCAUUCCCUACAGCAAUAUGCGUUAUGUUAGUCGCUGGAAUGUAUGCAGCAACAUUCUUGUUAAUCCAAUCAGCAGCUGUAGAACGAGAUUGCCCCACUCGAAGUAGCUGAUCAUUUGGAACCCCAACCACCACUUCUAUUCCAGUAUUUGCAAGGGCAGAUAGCAUCUGAUGGUCUGAAUCAAGCAGACGAACAUGUUGAAUCUUCUUUUCUUUCAGGAUAGACACUGUGUCUGAUGCUGAUGGUGGGUUCGAAAUAUCAGUGCCAACAUUGAUACCAACAAAUGCUCCUGUGGAAGUGAAUAAAAUUGUUCCAUGAA
rnacentral:sRNA from 1 species